rnacentral:misc_RNA from 1 species
GAUGAAGAACGCCGCGAAAUGCGAUAAGUAAUGUGAAUUGCAGAAUUCAGUGAAUCAUCGAAUCUUUGAACGCACAUUGCGCCCGGCAGUACUCUGCCGGGCAUGCCUGUUCGAGCGUCAUUUCAACCCUCAAGCCCUGCUUGGUGUUGGGGCCCCACGGCUGCCGUGGGCCCUGAAAGGAAGUGGCGGGCUCGCUACAACUCCGAGCGUAGUAAUUCAUUAUCUCGCUUAGGGCGUUGGGCGGCGCUCCAGCCGUUAAAGAACCAUCUUUAACUCAAGGUUGACCUCGGAUCAGGUAGGAAUACCCGCUGAACUUAAGCAUAUCAAUAAGCGGAGGA